rnacentral:rRNA from 1 species
UCGAGAAUCUUCGGCAAUGGGCGCAAGCCUGACCGAGCGACGCCGCGUGUGGGAUGAAGGCCUUCGGGUUGUAAACCACUGUUAGAGGGGAUGAAAUGCAGGUGGGUUCUCCCAUCUGUUUGACAUAGCCUCAGAGGAAGGACGGGCUAAGUUCGUGCCAGCAGCCGCGGUAAGACGAACCGUCCAAACGUUAUUCGGAAUCACUGGGCUUAAAGGGUGCGUAGGCGGCGCGGCAAGUUGGGUGUGAAAUACCUCGGCUCAACCGAGGAACUGCGCCCAAAACUGCCGUGCUCGAGGAAGAUAGAGGUGAGCGGAACUUAGGGUGGAGCGGUGAAAUGCGUUGAUAUCCUAAGGAACACCGGUGGCGAAAGCGGCUCACUGGAUCUUUUCUGACGCUGAGGCACGAAAGCUAGGGUAGCGAACGGGAUU